UAUUUAUUUAUUUUUAUUUUGAGGCAGGAUCUUGCUAAAUUGCCCAAGCUGUCCUCAAACUUUCAAUCCUCCUGCCCCAGCUUCUGGAGUCAGCGACUGGGAAGGCAUGCACCACCUCACCAGCUAUAUUUUGCUUUUUAACCAUUGAAAUUUUAACAUCCAAACUAGAAUAAUGGUCCCUCUAAAUUGCUGAGGGUUUUGCUAAGGUCACUGCAGCUGUAUUUGAACUACAAAACUUCCAGCCUCAGCCUCCUAAAUCAAUGAGAUUACAGGUAUGUGGCAGCCUGCCUCCAGCACCACCAUAUCCACCAAGUUUUGCAUUUCUUUAUGUUCCAAAGUCUGGCCAAUUGCUUCUGAUCUUUGGGUCAGAAUGAGUAGAAACCUAUUAGGUCUGUGACCUUGAUCUGGUUCUUAAUCUGUCUGACCCUAAGUUUAACCAGUUUAACUGUUAUAUACUUUUUAGGCCAUAGCAAAGAUUCAAAUUUAAUUAACUGAGUAAAGUGUCUGUCUAAUGGAAUCCAUAGAAAAUAACAUAAUUAUUAUCACACUAGUUAAAAUUACAUCUCUGGGAAGCAUGAUACUAAAGCUAACAUGAACUUGGUCUUCUGUAAAAUCAAAUGUGCUUUUGUUCAUGCUUAACAUACAAUGGUAAUUCAUACUUUUUAUUUUUAGCAUAAAGAUUGAAAAAAAAAAUGGGCUGGGAAUGUAGCUCAGUGGUAGAGCACUUGCCUAAUAUCUCAAUGCCCUGGAUUUGAGCCAGCAUUGGGGGAAAAAUAAAUAAAUAAAUUUAAAACCUUAAUUUUGCUACCAAACAGCUGAUUUUAUUUUAGUGGUUUUUUUAAACAAAUAUACUAAAUUCUAACAUGUAGGUCUGCAACAUUCAAAUAUUUAAUCAAACUGAAGUCAAAUCAAAGAUUUUUUUUACAAAUUCAUUUUUGAUAAGUGACCUUUUGCAUUUAACUUAAUCAAAACUUUUUUUUUAAAUUAAAAUCACAACAUUCAAAAAGCUUAUUCUUUUAAAAAUGUAUUUAGAUACAAGUCAUUUCUGCAAAUAUAAACACAAAAAUAUUUCAACAAACAGGACUUGUGUGAUUGUUCUUUCAGAGUCAAUGAUGUAGGGACCCAAAGUAAAGAUACAUUUUUCCAGGUAAAGGCAGUUCUUUUGAUUCACAGAGGUUUCACAGUAAUUCUUACUCUUUUUCUAGGUUUCUCCAUUUUUGAGAAACCAGUUUCUACCUCAAGGCCUGUGCAGAGGGAGGGGACAUGACCCUUGUCCUUGGAAAGACCCACAGACCACUCCUAGGCACAUAUCCACCCUGCUGAGUUAUUUGUCUGUAAAUAACAGGAGAGAUCUGUGUGCCAAGUGUCCCAGACUCAGUUACCAAAGAAGACGGGAAAAGCUUACAAGACUGGAGUUCUGGGAAAAGAGAGGGAUGAAGAAAAGAGAUUUGGAAAACAGGUUUUUCUUUUUAGUCUUUCUUUCUUACUCCUAAAUGCCUACUGUUUUCUAUUGAUAGACUAAAAACAAAUGUCUAGAAUUUUAUAUGCAGUUUCAUCUGAAUAAUAUCCUAAGAGAGAAACAGUUUUACCUUGGCAUCUGCUAGCAGCCAUGAGUAUAUAUAAAAGUAGAAUGAUGCCAGGCACGGUGCUGCAUGCCAUAAUCCCAGCAAUUUGGGAGGCUGAGGCAGGAGGAUCAUGAAUUCAAACCCAGCCUUAGCAACUUAGCAAGACUCUAAGCAACUCAGGGAGACCCUAUCUCAAAAUAAAAUAUUAAAAAGGGCUGGGGAUGUGGCUCGGCAUGUUUUUCAAAAUUAUUUUACCAUAAAUGUGACAGAUUUUAAAUGGCCACAAUUUCUUUAAGACAAGUCUAUGUCCUCUCCACUUAAAUCUGGACCAGCCUGGGGCUCCUUUGACCUAUACUAUUAGUAUGUUGGAAGUGAUGCUAUGCCAGAUACCAGGUAGCCUUUAAGAGGACUAAACUCCUGCCUUGGUCUCUUGAGGCCUCCAACUGUCAUGUAAGUCCAACAACCAUGAGGCUAAGGUUGUGGCUCAGAGGUAGAGCACUCACCUAGCAUGCGUUAGGCACUGGGUUUGAUCCUGAGCACCACAUGAAAAUAAAAUAAAGGUAUUGUGUCUACCUACAACUAAAACAUAAAUGUUUAAAAAAAAAAGAAGUUCAACAACCUGACAGAAGAAACUGCACAGAAAAAAGGCUCCCAAACUACAAGAGGGAGAGACGCCCCGCUGAGCCAAGCCUUCCAGUCAUCCUCAGUAGAAUACCAAACUGUGAAAAAUACAUUUUACAGCUCAAUUUUCCCUACAUAUUCAUAACUAAAGUAACAUUUAAUAAAACAAUAAUUACUCUUAAAUACUCCAAUGCAUUCAUAUUUCCUUAUUUCUCUUAUAUACUGAUUGUACAACACAAAUUGAUUUAUGGGCUAGUUUGAAAGACAUUGUAGUCUGUAUUACUCACUUCACAGGUGAAUACACAAACCUAGAUAGAAACCUUAAUAAGACCCAGGUGUCCUGAUUACUAAUCCAAAAUCCUUUUCCUUAUACCAUCUAAAAGGCAAUAGGUAUUACAGUCCAUACCAGAAGUCUCUCACAAACUCAUAUACAUAUCCCAGAAUUGAUCUAUGUCCUCCUCCCCCCACACUUUUAUUCCUAAGCUUAUCAAGCAUAAUGAAAUUGAGGUUUUUAAGUAUUAUCAGUUGUAUUUACUAAUCCUAUUCUUCAAAUAGGCUAACUGUACAUUUCAUUUCCCCCCCCUAAAUUGAACCCAGGAGUGCUCUACCACUGAGCACAGUACCCCAGUGCCUUUUUAUUUUUUAUUUUGAGAGACAGUCUCUAAAUUGCUGAAGCUGGCCUGGAACUUGCCAUCCUUCUGCUUCAGCUUCCAGAGCCAUUGGAGUUACAGGAGUGUACCACUAAGCUGGCCUUAACAUUUUGCUUCUGUACAAAGGUUACUUUUUAUAAACUGUAUGAGGUCCAAGGCGAAUUGUUACCAUGAGUCAUUUCUAAUGGAAAAGACUUCACUGCUGUCAUCUCAGACGUGGUAAAUGUUUUUAUAGGAUUUUAAAUUAUGAAUAGUAUUAAAAGAUUAACAGCUUUUUAGAAGAUUACUAGUAAUUGUUCCACGUAUUAUAUAGGAAUACUUCUUGAAGCAAAGAGCCUGUUUGAUUUUUUUCAUCCUAUAAGUUACAUAUUUUUUAAAAAAUUUUUCCCAGAUUUUUAUUUGGUGCAGUAACGUUGUACAUAAUGGUGGGAUUUGUUGUUACAUAUUUGUACAUGCACUACAAAUCACUGCUGAUUGUUAUUCACACAAGAUCAGAAAAUUGCAAGUAAUUACUAACAAUAUUAAAAUAAGACAGAUUCAGGUCUGAUCCUAUCUUGGCCACUUAAAACUGUCAUCACAGUCACAUCAUUUAAACUGUCUAAACCUUAGGUUUUUC